rnacentral:rRNA from 1 species
GAGUUUGAUCCUGGCUCAGGACGAACGCUGGCGGCGUGCCUAACACAUGCAAGUCGAGCGGAGGUAUUGAAGGGAAACCUAAGAUACCUUAGCGGCGGACGGGUGAGUAACGCGUGAGGAACCUGCCUUAUACAGGGGGAUAACACAUCGAAAGAUGUGCUAAUACCGCAUAAAGUCAUCAGGACGCAUGUCGUGAUGACCAAAGGAGCAAUCCGGUAUAAGAUGGCCUCGCGUCUGAUUAGCUAGUUGGCAGGGUAACGGCCUACCAAGGCGACGAUCAGUAGCCGACCUGAGAGGGUGACCGGCCACAUUGGGACUGAGACACGGCCCAGACUCCUACGGGAGGCAGCAGUGGGGAAUCUUCCGCAAUGGGCGAAAGCCUGACGGAGCAACGCCGCGUGAGGGAAGAAGGCCUUCGGGUUGUAAACCUCUGUCUUCAAGGAAGAAGUAAUGACGGUACUUGGAGAGGAAGCCCCGGCUAACUACGUGCCAGCAGCCGCGGUAAAACGUAGGGGGCGAGCGUUGUCCGGAAUUACUGGGCGUAAAGGGCGCGUAGGUGGUACAUUAAGUCAGAGGUGAAAGAUCGGGGCUCAACCGCGAGAUUGCCUCUGAUACUGGUGGACUUGAGUGCAGGAGAGGGGAGCGGAAUUCCCAGUGUAGCGGUGAAAUGCGUAGAUAUUGGGAGGAACACCGGUGGCGAAGGCGGCUCUCUGGACUGUAACUGACACUGAGGCGCGAAAGCGUGGGGAGCAAACAGGAUUAGAUACCCUGGUAGUCCACGCCGUAAACGAUGAGUGCUAGGUGUUGGAGGUAUCGACCCCUCCAGUGCCGUAGUUAACACAAUAAGCACUCCGCCUGGGGAGUACGGUGGCAACACUGAAACUCAAAGGAAUUGACGGGGGCCCGCACAAGCGGUGGAGUAUGUGGUUUAAUUCGACGCAACGCGAAGAACCUUACCAGGGCUUGACAUCCUCUGACGGUUCUAGAGAUAGGGCUUUCAUCCUUCGGGAUGACAGAGAGACAGGUGGUGCAUGGUUGUCGUCAGCUCGUGUCGUGAGAUGUUGGGUUAAGUCCCGCAACGAGCGCAACCCCUAACAUUAGUUGCCAGCGAGUAAGGUCGGGAACUCUAAUGUGACUGCCGUUGACAAAACGGAGGAAGGUGGGGAUGACGUCAAAUCAUCAUGCCCCUUAUGUCCUGGGCUACACACGUACUACAAUGGCCGGUACAGACGGAAGCGAAGCCGUGAGGCGGAGCAAAUCUGAGAAAGCCGGUCCCAGUUCGGAUUGUAGUCUGCAACUCGACUACAUGAAGUCGGAAUCGCUAGUAAUCGCAGGUCAGCAUACUGCGGUGAAUACGUUCCCGGGCCUUGUACACACCGCCCGUCACACCACGAAAGCUGACAACACCCGAAGCCGGUGAGCUAACCGCAAGGAGGCAGCCGUCGAAGGUGGGGUCGGUGAUUGGGGUGAAGUCGUAACAAGGUAACCGU